rnacentral:rRNA from 1 species
UAGGGAAUCUUCGGCAAUGGACGGAAGUCUGACCGAGCAACGCCGCGUGAGUGAAGAAGGUUUUCGGAUCGUAAAGCUCUGUUGUAAGAGAAGAACGAGUGUGAGAGUGGAAAGUUCACACUGUGACGGUAUCUUACCAGAAAGGGACGGCUAACUACGUGCCAGCAGCCGCGGUAAUACGUAGGUCCCGAGCGUUAUCCGGAUUUAUUGGGCGUAAAGCGAGCGCAGGCGGUUAGAUAAGUCUGAAGUUAAAGGCUGUGGCUUAACCAUAGUACGCUUUGGAAACUGUUUAACUUGAGUGCAAGAGGGGAGAGUGGAAUUCCAUGUGUAGCGGUGAAAUGCGUAGAUAUAUGGAGGAACACCGGUGGCGAAAGCGGCUCUCUGGCUUGUAACUGACGCUGAGGCUCGAAAGCGUGGGGAGCAAACAGGAUUAGAUACCCUGGUAGUCCGCGCCGUNNNGAUGAGUGCUAGGUGUUGGUCUCAUAAGAGAUCAGUGCUGCAGCUAACGCAUUAAGCACUCCGCCUGGGGAGUACNACCGCAAGGNU